rfam:Nasonia vitripennis chromosome 4, whole genome shotgun sequence.
AAAUCGGCCCAUUUCGGGGCCACCAAAAUUAUUAAACGUAGAAUAU